rnacentral:ncRNA from 2 species
CAAAUAUUACGACAAAUAGGUUCCUUUCUUGUUUAGAGUAUGACUCGUGCAGGAAGGGUGAAAAGGGAAGUUGGUGCAAGUCCAACACGGUCCCGCCACUGUAAGCGUUUAGGAAAGCUGCUGGAGUCCACUGUGCACGAUAAAGGUGCAUGGGAAGGCGCAGCUGACCAGUUAAGCGUAAGUCAGGAGACCUGCCUAUCUUGUUAUUUAAGC